UUUUAAUGGCUUCAAUCGACCCGUCUAGAAACACGGACCAAGGAGUCUAACAUGCCUGCGAGUGUUUGGGUGAAAACCCUUGCGCACAAUGAAAGUGAAAGUUGAGAUCCCUGUCAUGGGGAGCAUUGACGCCCGGACCUGAGCUUUUAGCAAUGGAUCCGCGGUAGAGCAUGCAUGUUGGGACCCGAAAGAUGGUGAACUAUGCCUGAAUAGGGCAAAGCCAGAGGAAACUCUGGUGGAGGCUCGUAGCGACUCUGACGUGCAAAUCGAUCGUCAAAUUUGGGUAUAGGGGCGAAAGACUAAUCGAACCAUCUAGUAGCUGGUUCCUGCCGAAGUUUCCCUCAGGAUAGCAGAAGCUCAUUAUCAGAUUUAUGUGGUAAAGCGAAUGAUUAGAGGCCUUGGGGUUGAAACAACCUUAACCUAUUCUCAAACUUUAAAUAUGUAAGAACGAGCUGUCACUUGAUUGGACUGCUCGGUGAUUGAGAGCUUCUAGUGGGCCAUUUUUGGUAAGCAGAACUGGUGAUGCGGGAUGAACCGAUCGCAAGGUUAAGGUGCCAGAGUUCACGCUCAUCAGACACCACAAAAGGUGUUGGUUCAUCAG
rnacentral:rRNA from 1 species